ACGGGGGGACUCCUACGGGAGGCAGCAGUGGGGAAUAUUGGACAAUGGGCGAAAGCCUGAUCCAGCCAUGCCGCGUGAGUGAUGAAGGCCUUAGGGUUGUAAAGCUCUUUCAGUGGGGAAGAUAAUGACGGUACCCACAGAAGAAGCCCCGGCUAACUUCGUGCCAGCAGCCGCGGUAAU
rnacentral:rRNA from 1 species